UUUUUUUUUUUUUUUUGGUUGGGGUGGGGGGUGCAGUGAUGGAAGUGUUGUGGGCGUUGCGUAUGAACUAUCUGAGUUCAUGGUUUCUGCCCAACCAGUUUUAAAAAUGCUCGAAAUUUGGACUUUGCAGAGAAAAGGGCAUUCUGGAAAUUAUUUGUUGAAAUUUUAUUCCAGAUAGCAAUAAUGCGUUGAUCUCUGGAUUUGAACAGCAAAUAGAAUUAUUUAGUCAUGAUAUCUAAUAAAUGAAAUUUUAUUGUAAAGGUUAAUGAAUUCCUCUCGUCUCUCCAAAGCUAAUUCUUUUCAGUGAAUGAGCUCAGAGAAAUAUCAAACAUCUUAAUGGCAUCGAGUAACUUUCUUCUAUGUAAACUCUAGGGUUUAAGACCUUCAAUUCCAAGGUAUACUCAUCCAAAGGUAGUCGAAUUGCUCGAAAGGUGUUGGCAGCAUGAUCCAUAUUUACGACCCGAAUUUUCGGAAAUUAUCGAGAUUUUGCAAGGCAUUGCCAAGAUGAUUUUAGAAGAAGAGAGGGCCAACAAAAAGAGGAAUUUGGGAGAAUCAUGUCAGCUCAUGGAGCAGGAGUGGCCACUGAAGAUGCAAGAAAGUGAGAAUACUGCAUGAAAUCCACACAUGGUUCUAUAAGCAUGUUUGGUACUGCUCGGUGUGACAAUACUGAAGAUUGAAGAACCCAGAAUUCAGAUUUUACGAGUAGUAGCAUGCAGUAUUAUCUUGUGCUGAAUAUUAGACAUGUCUUAUGCGGCUAAUAUUUUUGAUGGUUGAUACAGCUUGAGAGGAUGAAAAAAGCGAUAUCCGGUACUUGUUCUUGUCCCUGCCUCGAAAAGAAAAAGAAAUUUACUAAUUAAGAUCCAAAGUUCAGCCAUUAUGAGAGAUGAUGGUAUUGAAAUCAAUCUCUUAAGUGGUUUCUGCAAAUUUAGUUAAAAGCACUGUUUCAUUAGAUACACAAGAUUGUACAGUUUCUUUAGGUUCUUAACAGAAAGAAAUCUAGGAUCUUUUCCCUUUUUGCAUGAUAAAAAUGGUAUAAUUGACAAUUCCAGUUAUACAUAAAUGUGUGUAUAUGUCUGCAUUGUUAGUACAAAUGGAACUGUAGGGAUUUUGCAUUUUUGUCAUAUUGUCCGACUUAAAAGGAAAAAAAAACAGCUACUUGCCUGGUGA